rnacentral:rRNA from 1 species
CCUACGGGUGGCAGCAGUGAGGAAUAUUGGUCAAUGGACGCAAGUCUGAACCAGCCAUGCCGCGUGCAGGAAGACGGCUCUAUGAGUUGUAAACUGCUUUUGUACGAGGGUAAACGCAGAUACGCGUCUCUGUCUGAAAGUAUCGUACGAAUAAGGAUCGGCUAACUCCCUGCCAGCAGCCGCGGUAAUACGGAGGCUUCAAGCGUUGUCCGGAUUUAUUGGGGUUAAAGGGUGCGUAGGCGGUCGGGUAAGUUAGAGGUGAAAACGCGAGGCUCAACUUCGGAAUUGCAUCGGAAACUGUUCGGCUAGAGAGUGGUUGCGGUAGGCGGAAUGUAUGGUGUAGCGGUGAAAUGCUUAGAGAUCAUACAGAACACCGAUUGCGAAGGCAGCUUACCAAGCUACUUCUGACGUUGAGGCACGAAAGCGUGGGGAGCAAACAGGAUUAGAUACCCGAGUAGUC